GCCCGCUUGGCGGAACUGGUAGACGCUCGGGACUUAAAAUCCCGUUCCCUAACAGGAGUGCCGGUUCGAGUCCGGCAGCGGGCACCA
rnacentral:tRNA from 2 species